CGGCGUGCCUAACACAUGCAAGUCGAACGGAGUUGUUCCGUUCGGGGACAGCUUAGUGGCGAACGGGUGAGUAACGCGUGAGAAACCUGCCUUUCAGGUGGGGGACAACAGUUAGGAAACGACUGACUAAUACCGCAUAAUGUUUAGUUUGGGGGCACUCCCGAAUAACCAAAGUAUUUAUUGCUGAAAGAUGGUCUCGCGUCUGAUUAGCUAGAUGGCGGGGUAACGGCCCACCAUGGCGACGAUCAGUAGCCGGUCUGAGAGGAUGAACGGCCACAUUGGGACUGAGAUACGGCCCAGACUCCUACGGGAGGCAGCAGGUGGGGAAUAUUGGGCAAUGGGGGAAACCCUGACCCAGCAACGCCGCGUGAAGGAAGAAGGCCUUCGGGUUGUAAACUUCUUUUAGCAGGGACGAAUUCUGACGGUACCUGCAGAAAAAGCAACGGCUAACUACGUG
rnacentral:rRNA from 1 species